CGUUCUGUAAGCCUGUGAAGGUGUGUCGUGAGGCAUGCUGGAGGUAUCAGAAGUGCGAAUGCUGACAUAAGUAACGAUAAAGCGGGUGAAAAGCCCGCUCGCCGGAAGACCAAGGGUUCCUGUCCAACGUUAAUCGGGGCAGGGUGAGUCGACCCCUAAGGCGAGGCCGAAAGGCGUAGUCGAUGGGAAACGGGUUAAUAUUCCCGUACUUGGUGUUACUGCGAAGGGGGGACGGAGAAGGCUAUGUUGGCCGGGCGACGGUUGUCCCGGUUUAAGCGUGUAGGUGUGUGUUCCAGGUAAAUCCGGUUCACUUUAACACUGAGGCGUGACGACGAGGCACUACGGUGCUGAAGCA
rnacentral:rRNA from 1 species